rnacentral:rRNA from 1 species
GGCCAGCGCUUAUUGCGCGGCGGGAAAUAAUCCUUACACACUGUGUUUUUUAUAUUCGUGAUAAAUUACUUUGGUUCUGGACCUAGAAAUAGGUUUUUGGGGCCAGAGGUUUACUACCAAAACUUCAAUUUUUUAAUUGAAUUGUUUAUUAUAUUUAUUUUGUCAAUUUGUUUGAUUAAUUUCAAAAAUAAUCUUCAAAAACUUUCAACAACGGAUCUCUUGGUUCUCGCAUCGAUGAAGAACGCAGCGAAAUGCGAUAAGUAAUAUGAAUUGCAGAUUUUCGUGAAUCAUCGAAUCUUUGAACGCACAUUGCGCCCUCUGGUAUUCCAUAGGGCAUGCCUGUUUGAGCGUCAUUUCUCUCUCAAACCCCCACGGGUUUGGUAUUGAGUGAUACUCUUAGUCAGACUAGGCGUUUGCUUGAAAAGUAAUGGCAUGAGCGUACUAGAUAGUGCGACUUGAUUUAUUCAAUGUAUUAGGUUUAUCCAACUCGUUGAACAGAUCGGACGUAAAUUUCUGGUAUUGAAAGGCUCGGGCCGUACAACGACCAAACAAGUUUGACCUCAAAUCAGGUAAGAAUACCCGCUGAACUUAAG